rnacentral:rRNA from 1 species
AACGAACGCUGGCGGCAUGCCUAACACAUGCAAGUCGAACGAGACCUUCGGGUCUAGUGGCGCACGGGUGCGUAACGCGUGGGAACCUGCCCUUAGGUUCGGAAUAACUCCCCGAAAGGGGUGCUAAUACCGGAUAAUGUCUUCGGACCAAAGAUUUAUCGCCUUUGGAUGGGCCCGCGUUGGAUUAGCUAGUUGGUAGGGUAAAAGCCUACCAAGGCGACGAUCCAUAGCUGGUCUGAGAGGAUGAUCAGCCACACUGGGACGGAGACACGGCCCAGACUCCUGCGGGAGGCAGCAGUGGGGGAUAUAGGACAAUGGGCGACAGGCUGAUCCAGCAAUGCCGCGUGACUGAUGAAGUCCUUAGGGUUGUAAAGCUCUUUUACCCGGGAUGAUAAUGACAGUACCGGGAGAAUAAGCUCCGGCUAACUCCGUG